GAUGAACGCUGGCGGCGUGCCUAAUACAUGCAAGUCGAGCGAACAGACGAGGAGCUUGCUCCUCUGACGUUAGCGGCGGACGGGUGAGUAACACGUGGAUAACCUACCUAUAAGACUGGGAUAACUUCGGGAAACCGGAGCUAAUACCGGAUAAUAUAUUGAACCGCAUGGUUCAAUAGUGAAAGACGGUUUUGCUGUCACUUAUAGAUGGAUCCGCGCCGCAUUAGCUAGUUGGUACGGUAACGGCUUACCAAGGCAACGAUGCGUAGCCGACCUGAGAGGGUGAUCGGCCACACUGGAACUGAGACACGGUCCAGACUCCUACGGGAGGCAGCAGUAGGGAAUCUUCCGCAAUGGGCGAAAGCCUGACGGAGCAACGCCGCGUGAGUGAUGAAGGUCUUCGGAUCGUAAAACUCUGUUAUUAGGGAAGAACAAAUGUGUAAGUAACUAUGCACGUCUUGACGGUACCUAAUCAGAAAGCCACGGCUAACUACGUG
rnacentral:rRNA from 1 species